rnacentral:lncRNA from 1 species
GGGUACGACCCUAAUAGACAAAGUUAACAUUCAUAGCACGUAGCAUAUCAUAAAUAUCAUAAAUCUAACAUGAAUAUAAAUCAUAUCAUGUGAUUAAUAUUUCAUGCAUCAUAACAUAGUAAUAUCGACCAUAACAUAUCGGCGACCAUAACAUAUGACGGCCAUAACAUAUAUCUUAGCUAUAUUCGGUCACAUUAUAUAUCUUAGCUACAUCAAUGCAUAAUGAAAAAUACAUGCAAACUCUUAAUUUUAUUUUCAAAUGUAUAGUAGUAGAAUCUUUUACCUCCAGAUUAGCUAACAAAUAUUUUCUUACAAUCACAUUCAAAGUUUUUCCAACGAAUUGGUUCCAAAGUUGAGAUUGAAACCAACCUUGGUUAAUUACAAAAUUUAAUUGUUCCAUAAAUUACCCUUGACUAGGAUGACCUCCAUGAUAAAACUCCAAAUUAAUUAAUUUUAGCACCAACAAUUACCACUUGAUGGGUGUACCAAAAACCUGAAUUAAAAGCUCACAAAAACUAUCAAACUUGCUCAAAUAAGAUAGCGGAAGGCUUAGGCGGCUCAGCUAGAAGAAGAUUUGGCUCAAACGGCUGAUUAGAAAACAACUCAGUUUUGGGGAAGCUCGGUUGUGAAGGGGAACUACACAGCUAGUGAACAAACGGAGAAGAACUUGGUCGGACUUCACGUGGAAGACUGAACGCGACCCGAAUCUUCAACGACGAUGGUUCAUGGGAGAGCUUCGCAAACAAAAUAAACAGAGUAGACCCGAAACAAAGAACGAAAAAUGACCGAAGAUGAUGGAAGGGCGACGGCGACACUAGAAUUUUCUAAGGUUUUUUUGUGUGAAGAUAGAAGAUGGAGUGCCCACAUAUCGAGGAGGACCUAUUUAAAUUAAUAAUAAUAAUAACUAUAUUAUUA